ACCCGGGUGGUGAAAUUGGCAGACACAAGGGAUUUAAAAUCCCUCAGCCUUUGGCUAUACGAGUUCAACUCUCGUCCCGGGUACCA
rnacentral:tRNA from 1 species